rnacentral:misc_RNA from 1 species
AAGUCGUAACAAGGUAACCGUAGGUGAACCUGCGGUUGGAUCAUUAACAAAAUCCAAUAAAAGAGCUAGGGGUAACAGCCUAGCUUUUUUAAACCACUGUGAACUGUUUAAUGUUGGUGCAAACCAGCAGUAUUUUACACAAGUCGUCUAUAAAAGUUUAUUUAAAUUAAAAAACAACUUUUGGCAACGGAUCUCUAGGCUCUU